rnacentral:rRNA from 1 species
UACGUAGGGUGCGAGCGUUAAUCGGAAUUACUGGGCGUAAAGCGUGCGCAGGCGGUUCGUUGUGUCGGCGGUGAAAUCCCCGGGCUCAACCUGGGAAUGGCCGUUGAAACUGGCGAACUGGAGUGUGGCAGAGGGGGGUGGAAUUCCGCGUGUAGCAGUGAAAUGCGUAGAGAUGCGGAGGAACACCGAUGGCGAAGGCAGCCCCCUGGGCUGACACUGACGCUCAGGCACGAAAGCAUGGGGAGCAAACAGG